UUUGCUUAUGUGGUGAGAGACAAAGACACAAGGAUUCUGAAAUGCCAUGUGUUUCGAUGUGACACACCAGCAAAAGCCAUUGCCACAAGUCUCCACGAAAUCUGUUCCAAGAUUAUGGCUGAGAGGAAGAACGCCAAAGCCUUGGCCUGUAGCUCUUUAUAGGAGAGGACCAAUAUGAGUCUUGAUGUCCUUUUGCAAGUAGACUUUCCAACACCAAAGACGGAGCUGGUGCAGAAGUUCCACAUGCAGUACCUGGGCACGUUACCUGUAGACAGACCUGUCAGCAUGGACACCCUGAACAGUGCCAUAGAAAAUCUUAUGACGUCAUCCAGCAAGGAGGACUGGCCUUCAGUGAACAUGAAUGUGGCAGAUGCCACUGUGACAGUUAUCAGUGAAAAGAAUGAAGAGGAAGUCUUGGUGAAGUGUCGAGUGCAGUUUCUGUCCUUCAUGGGCAUCGGGAAGGACGUCCAUACAUUUGCCUUCAUCAUGGACACUGGGAACCAGCGCUUUGAGUGCCAUGUGUUCUGGUGUGAGCUGAAUGCAGCCAAUGUGUCAGAAGCUGUCCAGGCUGCCUGCAUGUUGCAGUAUCAGAAGUGCUUGGUAGCCAGGCCACCUUCGCAGAAAGUCCGGCCCCCGCCCCCACCAGCGGAUUCAGUGACCCGAAGAGUCACGACCAAUGUGAAACGAUGGGUCUUCUCUCUCAUUGACACUUUGAAACAGAAGCGGCCUGUCACAGAUAACGCCCUAGCAGCCUGGAACUCAGGGAGUCUGUCACUGUUACCUGAGGAUCAAGUAGCUACACGAAAAAAGCCGACACCUGGCCUUCCCACUCAGUUGCUGAUGCUUUGUCUCCAGAGAAUUUAUCUUUAA